UACGUAGGGUGCGAGCGUUAAUCGGAAUUACUGGGCGUAAAGCGUGCGCAGGCGGUUCGUUAAGACAGAUGUGAAAUCCCCAGGCUUAACCUGGGAACUGCAUUUGUGACUGGCGAGCUAGAGUAUGGCAGAGGGGGGUAGAAUUCCACGUGUAGCAGUGAAAUGCGUAGAGAUGUGGAGGAAUACCGAUGGCGAAGGCAGCCCCCUGGGCCAAUACUGACGCUCAUGCACGAAAGCGUGGGGAGCAAACAGG
rnacentral:rRNA from 1 species